GGCCUUAAGUGACUUUCAAAUCACAGGUGAAAUGAAAAGCUGAAAACAGUUUUCUGAGGGCAGCAGACCAAUGAGAGAAAGGGGGAGGAGGGUUAGUGAACGGCAGGUGAAUUAUAAAUGAUUUCAACACAGGUCAUAGUUUAGACUGCGAGAAGCAGCAGUGCAUGUGUAGUGGGUAAGAAUAUAGAGACAAAAAAAAACACAAGAUUGUUUUGCUGGAUUUUUUUUAAGAAACCCAAGACUUACCUGCGAGUCUCUGGUUGACAUUAACACCUGCUGCAGUGACUGAAGAAUUAUACAGGAUGGCUGACAGACACUUCUGGUGGAAAAGCUUCACCGGAAGGAACAAGAACAACUGUAAAGAAGCCCAGCAAGAAUUUGGAAGUUCGGACAAGACAGUAAAACACACAAAUGGCGAGAACAAGACUAACAAUCUGAUCAGCGACGAGAGGUACGAUGACUCUCAGCUGGAGCCUUCCUUCAACGAAAACACGUGCCGGAGACACUUGACUGUUUCCCGCUCUGGCCGAUACAAGGAGAAGAGAAGAGCGCGGGUCACCAUGCGCGAGCACAACUUCUAUGAGACGAGCAUUGCUGUCGCAAAGUAGAUAAGCAGUUUACAACAAUAAAUGAACAAAACGAACCUGUUUCUAAAGAAUUAAGCCGCUACUGUAAGUGUAACGUACGCUUUACCUGGAACGAUGCGGCGAGGGCACAGCUUACAGUUUGUUUGGUCUUGUUACGUCAUUCGCUUUCAGGACUGAGACAAUUUUAUGAAGAAAGCCUCAUUAAGGUGAAGCCACUUGAUUUUCAGUGAUGGACAGCACCUGGAUAUGCUCUAACCUGGAUUUGUUUGCUGAAGCCUCUUGGAGAUUCAGUUAUCAGCGUUGAAAUGGAAAGACAUAUGCACCCAGCAAACACAAAACAUUCCCAAAAUAGUUCCUAUUUGGUUCGCAUUUGACCAAAAAACCUGGGAACAUUUUUCUGUAGGUUCUUUUUUAUUUUUGCCAAACAAAAAUCUAUCUUCUUUCUGAGGCAAUUGUGGUAUGUUUUUUGUAACAACUAAAAAAAGAACAUACAUAUAAUGUUCAGGUAUGGUUAACAUAUAUUUUGGGGACUAAUAAAUUGUUAGCUGGGUUGAUGUAUUUAUUGUUUGGCUGUUAGCAUUUUAGCAUCUUAUUUAUUAUUUUAAAAAAGGUAUUUUUAAUUCAAGAUAUGCAGCACAGUAGUUUGUUGAGGGGAAUUAAGCAUUGUUUUACGUUACCAAAUAUUGCACCUUUGUGGUGUUUUGAAGGUCUAAUGGAAGAUUAUAAGAUUAUUUAGGAUACAAUGAUCUGCACCGUAGUUUGGGUUUCAUGCAAGUUUGUGUUAUCCAAAGUUUACCUCCCUGUGUAAAACUUAACCAUUGUUUAACUACAAAUGAUAUAAAAAAAACAUGGUUAAUCCAUGGUAAACAACACAAAAUAACCAUGGGAACUGUGCUAUUUGUAAGAUGAUUUUAUAGGUUACUUUUCCUAUAAAAUCUUGGUUUUAAGGUGUCUUUUUUUAUAAAAAUUUUGUUUCAUUGUUUCAAAAAACAAUAACAUAAAUAUGAUCAUAGAGAGGUGACAAUAUAAAAUAGGCUAGGUGUAUAGGCCAAAAUCUUAUUUAAAUCCCCAGCCCAUGUUCACGUUUUUAAUAUAGGAAAGAAUAACGUUGUAAGUUGCAAUUCAACCGAUGGUUUUUGAUCAAAGAGACACCGUACAAAGUGAUUCAGACUUACACAAACGGAACUGCAACUUUGGCAAAUGUUGCAAAUGUUUAUGUAACCAUGUUGAGCCAUAGUAAAAGAAUGGAAUGUUGUUCAACAUGACUCUCAGUAAAUGUUGCACGCAAAUUAUAAUACACACCAAACCCUAGUCAUUUGCAUCAUCUAGGUGUGUGUUGGUGACUGUCAUCUGUUUAAAAAAAGGCCACUUGACUGCAUUUCAACAGUGUCUCAGUUUUGUCAUUAGUAAUGUUUUAUAUAUCUAUUAAUACAAAUGUAUGGGUGAAUAAUCUGUCAAAAAAGAGAACUGACAUAUGAUUACAUCAAACAUUAUUUUGUGUCAUGACAGUAAACAGUUUAUGGAAGAA